rnacentral:lncRNA from 1 species
UCAAUGCGUGCACAUGAGAAAGAAUUAAAAGUCAUAACAAGUAAGAGACGAGAUUAAAUCUGGAGAUUAGAUCACACGGUCCAGAUUUAAACUGGAGAGGAUGAAGCCACCGGAGCCACCGUCUUCUCCGGUGAGCUCCAGAAUUCCGGCCAAAUUGCAGAAAUUAAAACCUCAACCAAAUUGUGCGAUCUAUACAUCAAUAGAAAGCUGGGAUGAUGUACAUCAUUCCUG